rnacentral:tRNA from 2 species
AGGGGAAUGGUGUAACGGUAGCACUACUGGUUUUGGUCCAGUCAGUUCGGGUUCGAAUCCUGGUUCCCCUG